UGGGGAAUAUUGCACAAUGGGCGCAAGCCUGAUGCAGCAACGCCGCGUGAACGAUGAAGGUCUUCGGAUCGUAAAGUUCUGUUGCAGGGGAAGAUAAUGACGGUACCCUGUGAGGAAGCCCCGGCUAACUACGUGCCAGCAGCCGCGGUAAUACGUAGGGGGCUAGCGUUAUCCGGAUUUACUGGGCGUAAAGGGUGCGUAGGUGGUCUAUCAAGUCGGUGGUUAAAGGCUACGGCUCAACCGUAGUUAGCCUCCGAAACUGGAAGACUUGAGUGCAGGAGAGGAAAGUGGAAUUCCCAGUGUAGCGGUGAAAUGCGUAGAUAUUGGGAGGAACACCAGUAGCGAAGGCGGCUUUCUGGACGAAAACUGACGCUGAGGCGCGAAAGCGUGGGGAGCAAACAGG
rnacentral:rRNA from 1 species